rnacentral:lncRNA from 10 species
GGUGUCAUAUGGGUGACAUCACUCCCCCAGCUAGCCAAUGGCUGGGGGCCGGCUCCGCCCAUCUUCCUUUAUUAACUCGGAGGCCCCGCCCCUCCACCCCGCCCUCCGGGCUGCUUUGCAAAGAUGGGGGUGGGGGGAGAGGAGGCAUGUCUAGAAAUAUGUUAUUUUUAAAAAAUCCGCGUGUGUGCACAGAUGCGCCUGUUCCCGGGAUGCUCGGAAGCGGCGCGCGGCACCACGGGGAGCGGGCGGCCCGGGGCGAACCGGGAUGGUUCGGGCGCCGGCGCUAACCGAGGACCGGGUCCCGGGAGAGGCCCCGCGCGCCUUUGUGCCCAGUCCCCGGGAGGCCCGACGGCGACAGCGGACGGCGCGCGCUCACUCCCCGGGUGCACACACUCGGGCACGCGCCCAGCCUGAGACGGCGGCCUCCGCCCGGCUCGCGGUCAGCCGCGCCCGGCCUGCCCCGGGGUGGGCGCAGCUGCUCCCCGGCGAGCCCCUCGCGGGGCUCGGCCGCUCCCCCGGGUCGCCGCCCCGAGCCCGCCCGGUAGCCCCGCGGCGGCCCUGGCCGACGGAAGGUGGCGCUUGAAGACAGCAACCUUCCCGGCACGUGGGCUCUGCUCUCCUUUUCCCUUUCUCCCUUUUUGUAAGGCAAAGAAAUCAAUUUAAAGCUCGAGAGGCGGUGAGCUCCCUCCCCCGUUUUGCAUUUUUCUGUUUUGUCCUUUUUCUCCGUCUGUUUUCCCUCCUCGGUGGUGUUUGGGGACGCGGCUGUGCGGGUUGGGCUGCGCCGCGCCCCCGCGCGCCCCGCCCCGGGCGGGGGCCGGAGUAACGGUCUGCGGGGCCCUCGGGUUCAAGCUGGCCACUCCCAGGGCUGGCUCCGGAGCGGGCUCUGGGUCCCGCAGGCUCCAGCAAGCCCGCGCCCCGCCCGGCGUCCCUGCGAGGGGCCCGGCGCCCUCCUUCCCUUCUCCCUCUGCUCCCCGCCCCUCCUCUCCCCGCCCCGUCCUCUCCCCGCCCCUCCGCCGCUCCUUUCUCCUUCCCAGGCCUCCUCUUCCUCUUUGUCCUUCCCCCAUCCUCGGUCGCCAGCGCUUCUCCGGCAGCCUCGUCCUGAAAUCGUGCGAUUGUGAGCUAGAAGCCUUCUGGGUCACUCAUAAACCAAAGAGAAAAUAAGGUGCACUCGAGUUUCCCGUCUAAAUAUUUUCCCUGGAGAUGGAAAGGUGCGCUGGCGGCCGGGGAGCCGCGACCUGGGGCGCGCUGGGCCUCGCAGAGCAGCCGCGGACCCCGGCGAUCGUGCCGUGUUCGUCUCCUUUGUGUUUCUUUAUUGAGUCCCUACUACCUCUACGGAUAUUCUGGGGGCAAUUAAAGAAAAUCACCGCUUCAUAGGCAGCACAUAUUUCCCAUAGAAAUGUGGAAUGUAAGAAAGGCACAUAAAGCAAUCCAAGUUGCCUGCAGAUAUCCACAGCCUACUUCAGUCUCAGUAAUGCUCUUUUAACCUGGUGCAUCAGUUUAAGGGAAGACAUGAGAUCAUGGGUUUAAGUGAGGCUUCAUCAUGCCAAGACAACGUGAUCAGUUAUUCCCAACCUAUAUAACUCACAUACACUGGAGGAAAUAUCUUCAUGGAAUUAAAACCACAUGGAGUAACAUUUCACGUAAGCAGAAUUCAGGAAUGAUUUCAGUAAUUCCAUCCCAAACACACACAGGCAAAGGGAGUGAAGAUUUCUUCAGCAACAUGGUGGCAGAAAGAUCAUGAAAAGAUCUAGGCCAGUCUCCAGCACUGCACUUGGGAAAGCGUCAAGGAGUUGAAUGUAUAUGUAAUUGGAGUGCCAGAAGAAGAGAACUGAGAGAGAGGGGCAGAACAGCUCAUGAGGGGGAAAACCCACUACAUACAAACAAGAAUACUGCAGACUCCUCAUCAGAAUCUAU